rnacentral:rRNA from 1 species
CCUACGGGUGGCAGCAGUGAGGAAUAUUGGUCAAUGGACGUGAGUCUGAACCAGCCAAGUAGCGUGCAGGAUGACUGCCCUAUGGGUUGUAAACUUCUUUUAUACGGGAAUAAAAUGCUUCACGUGUGGGGUUUUGUAUGUACCACAUGAAUAAGGAUCGGCUAAUUCCGUGCCAGCAGCCGCGGUAAUACGGAGGAUCCGAGCGUUAUCCGGAUUUAUUGGGUUUAAAGGGAGCGUAGGUGGAUUGUUAAGUCAGUUGUGAAAGUUUGCGGCUCAACCGUAAAAUUGCAGUUGAAACUGGCAGUCUUGAGUACAGUAGAGGUGGGCGGAAUUCGUGGUGUAGCGGUGAAAUGCUUAGAUAUCACGAAGAACUCCGAUUGCGAAGGCAGUUCACUGGACUGCAACUGACACUGAGGCUCGAAAGUGUGGGUAUCAAACAGGAUUAGAUACCCCUGUAGUC